ensembl:lncRNA PSMD14-DT PSMD14 divergent transcript
GUCUCUGGCAGGACUGUGAGGCGGCACUUAGCGCCCUGGUCGCUCGCGCCCCGCCGACGCCUCCUUUUUCUCUCCCUACCUCUGCGCUCUGCGGCCGCCGCUGAGAUCUGGGACGGCGGCACAUCCAGCCCGGGAGACGACUGGCUAGGAAAUAGAACUGUAAACCAGAGCUGCUAAUUACUUUAAGGUUUUUUAAGUCACAUCUUCAUAAUUUAAAUUAAUUUACCUUUACCAAAACUGCUUAUAAUCAGAUUGCUGUAAUAAUAAUCAUAGAACUAGAAAUAUCUAAGAACAUUUGAAAAUAUGGCUCAAAGACCAUAAUACUCAGCUGAAGAUGAGGAAAUAGUAACUUGUUCCUGGCUUAUUAGUUUUCCUGUUCUCAAUUAUAUAUGCCCCAGUAAUAGUACAACUAAUUUGACAGGCAGUAUGAUAAGGAACAAUCUGAAUGACACGUAAACAGGAGGGGGUAAAUUCCAAGCACAGCCUGAAUGAGAAGUACAACUCAUUUCCUGUAACCUAGAUGCCUUUUUAACACAUCUAUGCAGUCUCCAUGUGAAACCAGGUGCUGUUCCCAAAGGAGAAAACACUGCCCUCCAGUGGUCUUCAAUGAAGAAAUGGAAAUAGUUUCAGGUGGAAACCAGGCUUCUUGGAAGACUUCAAACUAUGCCAAAUGGUCUGAUUUCACCAUAGAGAAUGUUAUACUAUUAAUUGCCAAUUUGCAUAUGUGUGCAGCUGCUGUUUUGGCUCUGAACUCAAUCCGAUAAGCUUGCUGGAGGUAUCGCAGAGCACUUGGCAGCUUUCCUAUUUGAAAAGAAAGCCUCUCCCCUCUACAGAACAGCUGAUCGUCUAUCAGCGAUAGACCCUGAUGGCGUGAAUUAC